GACGAACGCUGGCGGCGUGCUUAACACAUGCAAGUCGAACGGGUUCCAAAGGCUGUUUGUUUUUGGUGAGAGUGGCGAACGGGUGAGUAACACGUGAGUAACCUGCCCCCUUCUUUUGGAUAACCGCAUGAAAGUGUGGCUAAUACAGGAUAUUCCAGGCUGGUCGCAUGAUUGGUUUUGGAAAUGGUUUGGUCUGGUGGGGGAUGGGCUCGCGGCCUAUCAGCUUGUUGGUGGGGUGAUGGCCUACCAAGGCGGUGACGGGUAGCCGGCCUGAGAGGGUGGGCGGUCACACUGGGACUGAGAUACGGCCCAGACUCCUACGGGAGGCAGCAGUGGGGGAUUUUGCACAAUGGGCGAAAGCCUGAUGCAGCGACGCCGCGUGAGGGAUGAAGGCCUUCGGGUUGUAAACCUCUUUCGCUGGGUUGAAAGGCCAUGCUUUGGGUGUGGUUGAUUUGAACUGGUAAAGAAGUACCGGCUAACUACGU
rnacentral:rRNA from 1 species